UAAUAAUAUUACGUAAAUUUGCAAAUAGUGAUUAAAGUGGUAUAAAGUCCAGAAAGGCAAAGCAGUUUGGAUAAAAGAGCAGUGUCCACAAAAAACUGAGAAAAAGAGGCAUACAUUUAGAGAGCGAGGGUAGAGAAAGAGAAAUGGAAAAAGAGAAGUUGAGUGAUAAAGGGAGAGAGAGCAAGAAAUAGAGAGAAGUAGAGAGAAAGAAAAAUAAACAAAUAGAGAUGUAGUUUCUAAGUGGUUGCUAGGUGGUUCCUUAAGGGUUGCUAGGUGGUUGCUAUGGUGUUGCUAUGGUGUCCGUGGUGGUUUAAUAGUUUUAAUAAUUAAUAAUUAUUUAAUGACUGCAGUAAAAUUAUUCUGGGGAAUAGGGUAUCUGCAUUUUAAACUUUGUUUUUAAACCUGAGCCUGUAAAAUUUCUAUUUUUUUGUCAAGGAGCUACCAAUAAGUAGUUAGAGCAUUCCAAUGUUGAGAGAUCAUAUAACUGAUAUUAAUUUUUUACUUCUUGCAUCUUUGGUUCUAUCUAUUCAUGUACAUGAACUUUCUAAAAAUUACUUUCUAAUGUUUAACCUUUUAUUAUUUUACAUUUUCCUUCAGGAAAUGCCUAUCUAAUUUUAUUUAUGUUUUAUAUUUUUAUUUUUUUAUGUAUUCUUUGCAAAACGAGUUUAAUAAUUGAAUGCUAAAAUAAACUGGUCAAAUAAAUCACAAACAUUUUUGAUUAAUAGAUAAAUUUGUCUAAGAUGAAUUCUCUUUCAACUUUUGCUUGAGUUACUUCUAGCAUGAAAUAAAAUAGAAAAACUUGCAAAUAUUAUAAAAAAGUAAUAACAUGCAUUUAAUUUAAUUUCAAUGCUGAAAAAUAAAGAGUUGGUUAGGACCUUCAUUAAGUCCAAUGAUUCCUGAUAAAUUGACUCUGUGAUAACCACAUAACGUUGUCACCUCUAGAUGGCAGUAAAGCGGUGAGCAUUAACACAUCAUUUUUAAUGCUCAUUCCUUCUGAAGUGAACUUGAUUAGUUAAAACGCUUUUAAUGUUACCCCAAAUAAUUCACUAAACAUUUAACUGAAAGUCUCAAACCCCAUACAUGUAUUGUCCUUUAGAUAUUAAUAAUAAAGCACAGCGUGGGUUCAGAAUUGGUUUAUUCUAAAUAAUUUCAUGUAGUGAGUAGGGAAGAAGGGAGCAUCGCGUGAACUGGACGCGCCCCACGGACCUGCUGUAGCUGCGCGCGCAGAGGAGCGGCUCUAUUGCUCGUUCUGAGUUGAUGCCUUCCUUGACAUUUCUUGUGUUGUCGAAACAUCUUCUAUUCUCAAAGUCCUGCCAGACUUCUCUCUUGCUUUCCAUCUGUUUUUCUGUGCCCCCUUAAACUUCAUCCCCUGCCUCCUUUCUCUUUUCUGCCUUUUCUAUCGGUCACAGACACUGUUCUGUACCAGGCGACCUCAAGGACCAGGUGGUCACAGACACUGUUCUGUACCAUCUGUAUUAAAGGACCAGGUGGUCACAGACACUGUUCUGUACCAUCUGUAUUAAAGGACCAGGUGGUCACAGACACCGUUCUGUACCAUCUGUAUUAAAGGACCCAGGUGGUCACAGACACUGUUCUGUACCAUCUGUAUACCCAGUGAAUAAGGACCCAGGUGGUCACAGACACCGUUCUGUGCCAUCUGAAAAACUUCUGAAUAAGGACACAGACGGUCACAGACACUGCUCUGUACCCUCUGAAUACCCUGUAAGUAAGGAAAAAGACAAUCUAAGACACUGUUUUGUACCCUUGGAAAAUUGAAAAGAGACACAUUUUUUAUUCAUUCUUGUUAUUGUUCUCAUUUUAUCCUGUGCAGUGUUUUCUUGUGAUUUGUUUCAGUUCAGGUGACCUUAAGAAUCAAACCAUCUGCAGUCAGAGACCUCCUUCAUUCUGACCUUAUCUACAGUUGAAGACCGUCACACAUUCACAACAUUCACUGAAGUUGUAGUCAUAUAUUUAAUAGCAGUACAUAUAAUAUUCCCCCUUUUUUAUAGUCUAGAGUAUAACUUACUACAUACUGUUGUAUCUACUUUUCUUCAUUUAGUUAAUUGCCAUUAUAUUGUUUAUUCAUUUUUAAGCCAACUGUUAGUCGUAUAUACUGCAUAUUGCUUGUGGAUUCAGUCAUUUUGUUUGGAUAUACAUAAUAUAAAACAUUCAAUAUAUUAAA